rnacentral:rRNA from 1 species
AAUCUUUUCGGUGCGGCCAAUCAGCAGGGAAGAAUCAAAGAAAUAGAUAUGGAAGAGUGAUAUGAUAUACCAUCUAAAAUCUCAAGACAGAAUCAAUGGGAUAUGGGAAAUGGUUUUCUCUGCCGCCUCUAAUGGUGAGGCAAGAGAAGAGACCAAAAAGUUGGUAAGAUUUUUAAGGCGGAGAGGCAGUCGCCCAACGCUGAGGAAGUACAACGGUGGUACUAUCCGUGUCAGACUCUGAAUAUGGUUUUGAUUUCCCUCAGAGACUAUACGCUGGGCCCAAUUUUCUGAAUCAAGGAUAUCGGAAACGAUGUCCCUCUUUCAGAGAGUUGGAGAAGAUAUAGUCCGAACUCUAUGGCGACAUAGAGAGUGCGGCGGAAACGCCCGCACCGUUAACAAAAUUGAUCUUUAGUUUUAAAAUUUUAAAUUUAAAAUUGAAAAUUUCAAUUUUGUUUCGUAACAAAAUUGUAGAUACCCCAGUAGUCCACGCCCUAAACGAUGAUCACUAGCUUUGAGGAGUAUCGACCCUCUUCGAGGCGAAGCUAACGCGUUAAGUGAUCCGCCUGGGUAGUACGACCGCAAGGUUAAAACUCAAAGGAAUAGACGGGGACUUGCACAAGCGGUGGAUCAUGUGGUUUAAUUCGACGACAAACGAAGAACCUUACCAGGGUUAGACAUCCAAUCGAAGUCUAGAAGAAACUUUAGACGUCUCACAAGGACGGUUGGACAGGUGCUGCAUGGUUGUCGUCAGUUCGUGGUUUGAAUUGUUCCCUUAAGUGGGGUAACGAACGCAACCCUCGUUGCCUGUUAUAUUUGUCAGGCGAGACAGCCCAGCGCUUUGCUCACAAUUGUUUGCGAGCAGUGCGCUGGGAGGAAGGUGAGGAUGACGCCAAAUCAGCAUGGCCCUCUGAUACCCUGGGCUACACACGUGAUACAAUCGCCGCUACAACGCGUUGCGACGGGGAAACCCUGAGCUAAUCGUUAGAAAAGCGGCGUCAGUUCGGAUUGAGGUCUGCAACUCGACCUCAUGAAGCCGGAAUCGCUAGUAAUCGCGGGUCAGCUAUACCGCGGUGAAUACGUUCUCAAGUCUUGUACUCACAAUAAAAGCGCGCAGUUGUCAAGUAUUCUAAAUAGUUAAAAUCUAUUCCUCCGCCAAUGGCGGAGCGUAGCAGAAAGA